rnacentral:rRNA from 1 species
UUAAGUUAUUAAGGGCGCACGGUGGAUGCCUUGGCACUAGAAGCCGAUGAAGGACGUUACUAACGACGAUAUGCUUUGGGGAGCUGUAAGUAAGCUUUGAUCCAGAGAUUUCCGAAUGGGGAAACCCAGCAUGAGUUAUGUCAUGUUAUCGAUAUGUGAAUACAUAGCAUAUCAGAAGGCACACCCGGAGAACUGAAACAUCUUAGUACCCGGAGGAAGAGAAAGAAAAUUCGAUUCCCUUAGUAGCGGCGAGCGAAACGGGAAGAGCCCAAACCAACAAGCUUGCUUGUUGGGGUUGUAGGACACUCUAUACGGAGUUACAAAGGACGACAUUAGACGAAUCAUCUGGAAAGAUGAAUCAAAGAAGGUAAUAAUCCUGUAGUCGAAAAUGUUGUCUCUCUUGAGUGGAUCCUGAGUACGACGGAGCACGUGAAAUUCCGUCGGAAUCUGGGAGGACCAUCUCCUAAGGCUAAAUACUCUCUAGUGACCGAUAGUGAACCAGUACCGUGAGGGAAAGGUGAAAAGCACCCCGGAAGGGGAGUGAAAUAGAACCUGAAACCGUGUGCUUACAAGUAGUCAGAGCCCGUUAAUGGGUGAUGGCGUGCCUUUUGUAGAAUGAACCGGCGAGUUACGAUUUGAUGCAAGGUUAAGCAGUAAAUGUGGAGCCGUAGCGAAAGCGAGUCUGAAUAGGGCGUUUAGUAUUUGGUCGUAGACCCGAAACCAGGUGAUCUACCCUUGGUCAGGUUGAAGUUCAGGUAACACUGAAUGGAGGACCGAACCGACUUACGUUGAAAAGUGAGCGGAUGAACUGAGGGUAGCGGAGAAAUUCCAAUCGAACCUGGAGAUAGCUGGUUCUCUCCGAAAUAGCUUUAGGGCUAGCCUCAAGUGAUGAUUAUUGGAGGUAGAGCACUGUUUGGACGAGGGGCCCCUCUCGGGUUACCGAAUUCAGACAAACUCCGAAUGCCAAUUAAUUUAACUUGGGAGUCAGAACAUGGGUGAUAAGGUCCGUGUUCGAAAGGGAAACAGCCCAGACCACCAGCUAAGGUCCCAAAAUAUAUGUUAAGUGGAAAAGGAUGUGGCGUUGCCCAGACAACUAGGAUGUUGGCUUAGAAGCAGCCAUCAUUUAAAGAGUGCGUAAUAGCUCACUAGUCGAGUGACACUGCGCCGAAAAUGUACCGGGGCUAAACAUAUUACCGAAGCUGUGGAUUGUCCUUUGGACAAUGGUAGGAGAGCGUUCUAAGGGCGUUGAAGCAUGAUCGUAAGGACAUGUGGAGCGCUUAGAAGUGAGAAUGCCGGUGUGAGUAGCGAAAGACGGGUGAGAAUCCCGUCCACCGAUUGACUAAGGUUUCCAGAGGAAGGCUCGUCCGCUCUGGGUUAGUCGGGUCCUAAGCUGAGGCCGACAGGCGUAGGCGAUGGAUAACAGGUUGAUAUUCCUGUACCACCUAUAAUCGUUUUAAUCGAUGGGGGGACGCAGUAGGAUAGGCGAAGCGUGCGAUUGGAUUGCACGUCUAAGCAGUAAGGCUGAGUAUUAGGCAAAUCCGGUACUCGUUAAGGCUGAGCUGUGAUGGGGAGAAGACAUUGAGUCUUCGAGUCGUUGAUUUCACACUGCCGAGAAAAGCCUCUAGAUAGAAAAUAGGUGCCCGUACCGCAAACCGACACAGGUAGUCAAGAUUAGAAUUCUAAGGUGAGCGAGCGAACUCUCGUUAAGGAACUCGGCAAAAUGACCCCGUAACUUCGGGAGAAGGGGUGCUCUUUAGGGUUAACGCCCAGAAGAGCCGCAGUGAAUAGGCCCAAGCGACUGUUUAUCAAAAACACAGGUCUCUGCUAAACCGUAAGGUGAUGUAUAGGGGCUGACGCCUGCCCGGUGCUGGAAGGUUAAGAGGAGUGGUUAGCUUCUGCGAAGCUACGAAUCGAAGCCCCAGUAAACGGCGGCCGUAACUAUAACGGUCCUAAGGUAGCGAAAUUCCUUGUCGGGUAAGUUCCGACCCGCACGAAAGGCGUAACGAUUUGGGCACUGUCUCAACGAGAGACUCGGUGAAAUCAUAGUACCUGUGAAGAUGCAGGUUACCCGCGACAGGACGGAAAGACCCCGUGGAGCUUUACUGUAGCCUGAUAUUGAAAUUCGGCACAGCUUGUACAGGAUAGGUAGGAGCCUUUGAAACGUGAGCGCUAGCUUACGUGGAGGCGCUGGUGGGAUACUACCCUAGCUGUGUUGGCUUUCUAACCCGCACCACUUAUCGUGGUGGGAGACAGUGUCAAGCGGGCAGUUUGACUGGGGCGGUCGCCUCCUAAAAGGUAACGGAGGCGCUCAAAGGUUCCCUCAGAAUGGUUGGAAAUCAUUCAUAGAGUGUAAAGGCAUAAGGGAGCUUGACUGCGAGACCUACAAGUCGAGCAGGGUCGAAAGACGGACUUAGUGAUCCGGUGGUUCCGCAUGGAAGGGCCAUCGCUCAACGGAUAAAAGCUACCCCGGGGAUAACAGGCUUAUCUCCCCCAAGAGUUCACAUCGACGGGGAGGUUUGGCACCUCGAUGUCGGCUCAUCGCAUCCUGGGGCUGUAGUCGGUCCCAAGGGUUGGGCUGUUCGCCCAUUAAAGCGGUACGCGAGCUGGGUUCAGAACGUCGUGAGACAGUUCGGUCCCUAUCCGUCGUGGGCGUAGGAAAUUUGAGAGGAGCUGUCCUUAGUACGAGAGGACCGGGAUGGACAUACCUCUGGUGUACCAGUUGUCGUGCCAACGGCAUAGCUGGGUAGCUAUGUGUGGACGGGAUAAGUGCUGAAAGCAUCUAAGCAUGAAGCCCCCCUCAAGAUGAGAUUUCCCAACUUCGGUUAUAAGAUCCCUCAAAGAUGAUGAGGUUAAUAGGUUCGAGGUGGAAGCAUGGUGACAUGUGGAGCUGACGAAUACUAAUCGAUCGAAGACUUAAUCAA